UUGAAAGGGAAACGAUUGAAGUCAGUCGUACCAGCGGGAAAUCAACCUUUCGAGUGGGGUUUUGGGUUUUGAAGAGUGUCAAACCUUCGAGAUUUCAAAAUGUUCUCUCUUUUGGUGUACUUUCUCGCAGGUAGGUUAACAUCGAUUUUGAUCAUCAUAAAAGGAUUGGAGGAAUGUAGCUUCGAUCUCGUAUUGAAGUGUUAUAGCCUUUGGUAAAUGUGAUGAUUGGGAUCGAGGAUUGCAACGAAUACCCUUUUGGGCUAUCCGCCUGAUCUCUGAUACGUGGCCUUGGUAUCGAAAGCGUGCUUAUGGUAUUAAGGUAUUACGGUCAAAAGGUUAGAACGGAUUACAUUCGUUAAGGAUGUUGACGUA
rnacentral:rRNA from 1 species